rnacentral:rRNA from 1 species
AGCGAACGCUGGCGGCAGGCUUAACACAUGCAAGUCGAGCGGGCAUCCUUGUGGUGUCAGCGGCAGACGGGUGAGUAACGCGUGGGAACGUGCCCUUCGGUUCGGAAUAACUCAGGGAAACUUGAGCUAAUACCGGAUACGUGCGAGAGCAGAAAGGUUUAUCUGCCAAAGGAUCGGCCCGCGUCUGAUUAGCUAGUUGGUGAGGUUAUGGCUCACCAAGGCGACGAUCAGUAGCUGGUCUGAGAGGAUGAUCAGCCACACUGGGACUGAGACACGGCCCAGACUCCUACGGGAGGCAGCAGUGGGGAAUAUUGGACAAUGGGGGCAACCCUGAUCCAGCCAUGCCGCGUGAGUGAUGACGGCCUUAGGGUUGUAAAGCUCUUUUCUCCGGGACGAUAAUGACGGUACCGGAGGAAUAAGCCCCGGCUAACUUCGUG